rnacentral:snRNA from 1 species
CGUCAACAGGCCUCGGAUGGAAUUUGAUUACGACAAAGUCGAGGCCAGGCCAGCAACCGAGC